rnacentral:rRNA from 1 species
CACGCUGUAAACGGUGGGUACUAGGUGUGGGAUCCUUUCCGUGGGUUCUGUGCCGUAGCUAACGCAUUAAGUACCCCGCCUGGGGAGUACGGCCGCAAGGCUAAAACUCAAAGGAAUUGACGGGGGCCCGCACAAGCGGCGGAGCAUGCGGAUUAAUUCGAUGCAACGCGAAGAACCUUACCUGGGUUUGACAUAUGCCGGAAGCAUUCAGAGAUGGGUGUGCCUUGGGGGUCGGUUUACAGGUGG